ensembl:lncRNA
GGAGAAGUGUAAUGGUCUGGUGUGUGUAUAGGUGUGUGUUGGCCUGUAGGGAGAUGUGUAAUGGUCUGGUGUGUGUAUAGGUGUGUGUUGGUCUGGUGUGUGUAUAGGUGUGUGCUGAUCUGGUGUGUGUAUAGGUGUGUGUUGGCCUGGUGUGUGUAUAGGUGUGUGUUGGCCUGGUGAGUGUAUAGGUGUGUGUUGGCCUGUACUGAUGUGUCUGUUGGCCUGGUGUGUGUAUAGGUGUGUGUUGGCCUGGUUUGUGUAUAGGUGUGUGUUGGCCUGUAGUGACGUGUCUGUUGGCCUGGUGAGUGUAUAGGUGUGUGUUGGCCUGGUGAGUGUAUUGGUGUGUGUUGGCCUGGUGAGUGUAUAGGUAUGUGUUGGCCUGGUGUGUGUAUAGGUGUGUGUUGGCCUGGUGAGUGUAUAGGUGUGUGUUGGCCUGUAGUGACGUGUCUGUUGGCCUGGUGAGUGUAUAGGUGUGUGUUGGCCUGGUGAGUGUAUAGGUGUGUGUUGGCCUGGUGAGUGUUUGGACUGAAGUGUAUAUUCCCUGCUCAGUUAGAGCCCAGGAAGCACCAGAGAUCAUGCAGGUGUGGACAGGUAGGAAUGAGGCAGUAUACAACAG